CCUACGGGUGGCUGCAGUGGGGAACAUUGCACAAUGGGCGCAAGCCUGAUGCAGCCAUGCCGCGUGUGUGAAGAAGGCCUUCGGGUUGUAAAGCACUUUCAGCGGGGAGGAAGGCGUUAAGGUUAAUAACCUUGUCGAUUGACGUUACCCGCAGAAGAAGCACCGGCUAACUCCGUGCCAGCAGCCGCGGUAAUACGGAGGGUGCAAGCGUUAAUCGGAAUUACUGGGCGUAAAGCGCACGCAGGCGGUCUGUCAAGUCGGAUGUGAAAUCCCCGGGCUCAACCUGGGAACUGCAUUCGAAACCGGCAGGCUAGAGUCUUGUAGAGGGGGGUAGAAUUCCAGGUGUAGCGGUGAAAUGCGUAGAGAUCUGGAGGAAUACCGGUGGCGAAGGCGGCCCCCUGGACAAAGACUGACGCUCAGGUGCGAAAGCGUGGGGAGCAAACAGGAUUAGAUACCCUAGUAGUC
rnacentral:rRNA from 1 species